rnacentral:lncRNA from 1 species
GAGGAGAAGGUACCUGCAUGCUUGGGUGUUUUAAAGAUGAAUGCAUUAUGCCUCGAUUUACAGUGUUGAAUAAUGUUCCUUCAUGUGGUCUUCUAACAGAUGAACAUCUGUUCUACAUGCUGGUUGGUUGUCUGGUUCUCACUCGUUUCUCAUUCUUAUAAUGAGUUAGUGAGCCUGAAGACUCUAAAGGAAAUUACUGGAAAGUGCCACAAGAAAGUCGUUCUCCCCUGUGACAUUUCCAUUAAGGCAGAGUCUCUUAAUGUCACUUUGUUUUCAUGGAUUUCUGACAACACAAAGAAGACGCUGUGUGAUGUUAAAAAUACAGAGUCAUCGAUGCCACACUUCAGCUGUGCCCACGAAGACCGGAGCCUUGUUCUGACCAUCCAUCAUGCGAGACUGGCUGAUGAGGGGAACUACCUCUGCAAGCUCCGAUCAAGCAUGGGAAUAAAGCAGACGUGGUCCAAGGUGAACCUCCAAGAUUGUCACAGUAAAUCCCAUUACGACCCACUCAGAAGGACCUGCCAUGCCAGCGGCAUUUACCCACAAGGCCAGAUCCACUGGUCCCAUCAUCACAGCAACCUGACACAUAAUUCCACACUAAACACCACCCAGGCUGCUGAUGGCACGUAUGAGUUAAUCAGCACCCUCCAUCAUGACCUCCAUCAUGACUACAACUGCUCGCUAUGGUUUCCUAGAACUGGCACUAAAAUCCAAAUCCUGCCCAGACAAGAAAAUGAUCGAGCGACUCAGGCCAUCACACUGGUUAAGAGUGUGGCUAGUGGCACAGGAACGGCAUGGAGAACACUUGCACUUUUACUGGUGUCUGAGCUCCUAUUUCACUAAUCCAUUUUCACUAAUGAGCUACUUUGUAUUGUGACAGACUCUGUCAUCUACUGAUUUCUGCUGUGGUGGUCUCAUUUUAGUCUGAUUUUAAGACUUGACCUGAUUUUUUUUUUUAAGAGGAAUACAAAUUUUUCAAGGUAUGACACCAAAGUAGCAAAACAAACAUGCAAAGACAGCCCCAUUUGUUAUGAACAUGCAAUAUUUGAUGUUUUCUUUCAUUUUGAAAAGUGAUGACUGAACUGCAGUGUUGGGCAACGCUGCCCUCUGCUGUGUCCUCAGUGUCAUGUCUGGGAGACGAUGGCAUUAACAAUCAAAACGCAUGACAAUCCACAUUUAUCCGCAAUCCACAUAUUCAACAUUUAGAUUUGCUCAUCAUUACAAAACUAUGUAUAAAGAAUCAAAAUAAAAAUGGAUUUGGUCAUUGACCUUAACA